AUGAGCAGCGAGGCCGAGACCCAGCAGCCGCCCGCCGCCCCUGCCGCCGCCCUCAGCGCCGCCGACACCAAGCCCAGCUCCACGGGCAGCGGCAAGGGUUGUGGCGGCCCGGGCGGCCUCACAUCGGCGGGGACAAGAAGGUCAUCGCAACGAAGGUUUUGGGAACAGUCAAAUGGUUCAAUGUAAGGAACAGAUACGGUUUAAUCAACAGGAAUGACACCAAGGAAGACGUAUUUGUACACCAGACUGCCAUAAAGAAGAAUAACCCCAGGAAGUACCUUCGCAGUGUAGGCGAUGGAGAGACUGUGGAGUUUGAUGUUGUUGAAGGAGAAAAGGGUGCGGAGGCAGCAAAUGUUACAGGCCCUGGUGGAGUUCCAGUUCAAGGCAGUAAAUACGCAGCAGACCGUAACCAUUAUAGACGCUAUCCACGUCGUAGGGGUCCUCCGCGCAAUUACCAGCAAAAUUACCAGAAUAGUGAGAGUGGGGAAAAGAACGAGGGAUCGGAAAGCGCUCCUGAAGGCCAGGCCCAACAACGCCGGCGAAGGUUCCCACCUUACUACAUGCGGAGACCCUAUGCGCGUCGACCACAGUAUUCCAACCCCCCUGUGCAAGGAGAAGUGAUGGAGGGUGCUGACAACCAGGGUGCAGGAGAGCAAGGUAGACCAGUGAGACAGAAUAUGUAUCGGGGUUACAGACCACGAUUCCGAAGGUAUGGUUACAGACCACGAUUCCGAAGGGGCCCUCCUCGCCAAAGACAGCCUAGAGAGGAUGGCAAUGAAGAGGACAAAGAAAAUCAAGGAGAUGAUACCCAAGGUCAGCAGCCACCUCAACGUCGGUAUCGCCGCAACUUCAAACCGACGCAGACGCCCAGAGAACCCUAAACCACAAGAUGGCAAAGAGACAAAAGCAGCCGAUCCACCAGCUGAGAAUUCGUCUGCUCCCGAGGCUGAGCAGGGUGGGGCUGAGUAAAUGCCGGCUUACCAUCUCUACCAUCAUCCGGUUUGGUCAUCCAACAAGAAGAAAUGAAUAUGAAAUUCCAGGAAUAAGAAAUGAACGAAGAUUGGAGCUGAAGACCUUAAGUGCUUGCUUUUUGCCCGCUGACCAGAUAACAUUAGAACUAUCUGCAUUAUCUAUGCAGCAUGGGGUUUUUAUUAUUUUUACCUAAAGAUGUCUCUUUUUGGUAAUGACAAACGUGUUUUUUAAGAAAAAAAAAA